CGCGUCGGACCCACCCCUUCCCAUCCCGAACAGGGCCGUGAAACGGCGCCGCGCCGAUGAUAGUGGGGGCCCGCCCCCGCGAAAGUAGGUCACCGCCAGGC
rnacentral:rRNA from 1 species